rnacentral:rRNA from 1 species
GAUGAACGCUGGCGGCGUGCCUAACACAUGCAAGUCGAGCGGACGGACGUUAUGCUUUCUUCUCUUAUUUUCGCGGAGCAGGGGUGGGUAACACGUUUAUACCCCACCUAUAAGAAUGGGGAAACUUCCGGAAACCGGAGCUAAUACACGAAGAUAUUUUGAACCGCAUGGUUGAAAAGUACAUGACGGUCUUGCUGUCACUUAUAGAUGGAUCCGCGCUGCAUUAGCUAGUUGGUAAGGUAACGGCUUACCAAGGCAACGAUGGAUAGCCGACCUGAGAGGGUGAACGGCCACACUGGAACUGAGACACGGUCCAGACUCCUACGGGAGGCAGCAGUAGGGAAUCUUACGCAAUGGGCGAAAGCCUGACGGAGCAACGCCGCGUGAGUGAUGAAGGUCUUCGGAUCGUAAAACUCUGUUAGUAGGGAAGAAGAUAUGUGUAGUUAACUGUGCACAUCUUGACGGUACCUAAUCAGAAAGCCACGGCUAACUACGUG